CCCCGGGCUCAACCUGGGAACUGCGUUNUGAACUGGGUAGCUAGAGUAUGUCAGAGGGGGGUAGAAUUCCACGUGUAGCGGUGAAAUGCGUAGAGAUGUGGAGGAAUACCGAUGGCGAAGGCAGCCCCCUGGGAUAAUACUGACGUUCAUGCUCGAAAGCGUGGGUAGCAAACAGGAUUAGAUACCCUGGUAGUCCACGCCCUAAACGAUGUCGAUUAGCUGUUGGGCAGCUUGACUGCUUAGUAGCGUAGCUAACGCGUGAAAUCGACCGCCUGGGGAGUACGGUCGCAAGAUUAAAACUCAAAGGAAUUGACGGGGACCCGCACAAGCGGUGGAUGAUGUGGAUUAAUUCGAUGCAACGCGAAGAACCUUACCUGGUCUUGACAUGUACGGAACCUUCCAGAGACGGAAGGGUGCCUUCGGGAGCCGUAACACAGGUGCUGCAUGGCUGUCGUCAGCUCGUGUCGUGAGAUGUUGGGUUAAGUCCCGCAACGAGCGCAACCCUUGUCAUUAGUUGCCAUCAUUCAGUUGGGCACUCUAAUGAGACUGCCGGUGACAAACCGGAGGAAGGUGGGGAUGACGUCAAGUCCUCUUGGCCCUUAUGACCAGGGCUUCACACGUCAUACAAUGGUCGGUACAAAGGGUAGCCAAGCCGCGAGGCGGAGCCUAUCUCAUAAAACCGAUCGUAGUCCGGAUUGCACUCUGCAACUCGA
rnacentral:rRNA from 1 species